UAGGGAAUAUUAGUUAAUGUGCGAAAGCGCGAACUAGCAACGCCGCGUGUGCGAUGAAGGCCUUCGGGUUGUAAAGCACUUUUCCAAGGGACGAGGAAGGACGGUACCUUGGGAAUAAGCAUCGGCUAACUACGUGCCAGCAGCCGCGGUAAAACGUAGGAUGCGAGCGUUAUCCGGAUUUACUGGGCGUAAAGCGCGUGUAGGCGGUUCGGUAAGUUGGAUGUGAAAGCUCCCGGCUUAACUGGGAGAGGUCGUUCAAUACUGCCGAGCUAGAGGAUGGUAGAGGAAGGUGGAAUUCCGAGUGUAGUGGUGAAAUGCGUAGAUAUUCGGAGGAACACCAGUGGCGAAAGCGGCCUUCUGGACCAUUUCUGACGCUCAUACGCGAAAGCUAGGGUAGCAAAC
rnacentral:rRNA from 1 species